GAUGAACGCUGGCGGCGUGCCUAAUACAUGCAAGUCGAGCGAAUGGAUUAAGAGCUUGCUCUUAUGAAGUUAGCGGCGGACGGGUGAGUAACACGUGGGUAACCUGCCCAUAAGACUGGGAUAACUCCGGGAAACCGGGGUUAAUACCGGAUAACAUUUUGAACCGCAUGGUUCGAAAUUGAAAGGCGGCUUCGGCUGUCACUUAUGGAUGGACCCGCGUCGCAUUAGCUAGUUGGUGAGGUAACGGCUCACCAAAGCAACGAUGCGUAGCCGACCUGAGAGGGUGAUCGGCCACACUGGGACUGAGACACGGCCCAGACUCCUACGGGAGGCAGCAGUAGGGAAUCUUCCGCAAUGGACGAAAGUCUGACGGAGCAACGCCGCGUGAGUGAUGAAGGCUUUCGGGUCGUAAAACUCUGUUGUUAGGGAAGAACAAGUGCUAGUUGAAUAAGCUGGCACCUUGACGGUACCUAACCAGAAAGCCACGGCUAACUACGUGCCAGCAGCCGCGGUAA
rnacentral:rRNA from 1 species